CCUACGGGUGGCAGCAGUGGGGAAUAUUGCGCAAUGGGCGAAAGCCUGACGCAGCGACGCCGCGUGAGUGAUGAAGGUCUUCGGAUCGUAAACCUCUGUCAGCAGGGAAGAACGGUCACUGUGUUAAUCAGCAGUGAAUUGCCGGUACCUGCAAAGGAAGCACCGGCUAACUCCGUGCCAGCAGCCGCGGUAAUACGGAGGGUGCGAGCGUUAAUCGGAAUUACUGGGCGUAAAGCGCUCGUAGGCGGUAUGUCAAGUCAAGGGUGAAAUCCCCGGGCUCAACGUGGGAACUGCCUUUGAAACUGGCAAACUGGAGUGUGUGAGAGGAGAGUGGAAUUCCAGGUGUAGGAGUGAAAUCCGUAGAUAUCUGGAGGAACACCAGUGGCGAAGGCGACUAUCUGGAACAUAACUGACGCUGAGGAGCGAAAGCGUGGGUAGCAAACAGGAUUAGAUACCCUUGUAGUC
rnacentral:rRNA from 1 species